rnacentral:rRNA from 1 species
CUGCUGCCUUCCGUAGGAGUUUGGACCGUGUCUCAGUUCCAAUGUGGGGGACCUUCCUCUCAGAACCCCUACUGAUCGUCGCCCCGGUGGGCCGUUACCCCGCCGGCAAGCUAAUCAGACGCAUCCCCAUCCUUUACCGGCCGAAGCCUUUGGUCAUGAAAAUAUGCAUCAACAUGACAACAUACGGUAUUAAUCCGCCUUUCGACGGGCUGUCCCAUAGUAAAGGGCAGGUUGGAUACGCGUUACUCACCCAUACGCCGGUCGCCAU